ACAGUCUGUUGCUCUAGGAGAUAUUAAGUUAUAAUUUCAUAUGCUUAAAUGUACAGCACAGUAAGCCAUGGACUCACUGUGAAAAGUAAUAAAUAUUAAAUACUGUACAAAUGCAAAACCUCAGACACUUUUCCCCCUCCUUAAGUUAAAGUGAGAGUCAGUGAGGAUCAAGCCUUCAUCUCUGCUCCUCUCAAAGAUAUCCUCAUUGCUGAAGUUGGACAUGAUCUCAUUUCAUAUUCCUUUGCUCGAGUUUGGAUUUGUAGAUCCUGACACAUAAAAACAAUCGUAAAAUGAGGGAAAGUUUGAGUCUUUGGGUUCCUGGGUGAGGACACCUCACCACACCGAGAGGUUACACCUGUCAAACUGGAGUGGAUAGUGUUUGAUACAGAGAGGCUCAGUCAUGAGCUCAUAUACACAAGUAGAAAUUAGCUUUGGUACUGAAACAUCCACUGAGAAAUAACAUGGAUUUUCAUCGGGCCUUAAAAGAUGUAUUCUGACCUAUAUCGCCCUCUAUUGGUGAGCACCACUGUACAUAAGAAGGACCUUGCCUUUACAACUUUCUCAAAUGAUUUCUAAAAUCCUAAACAAAGCCUUUGCCUCCUCAGCUCUCCUGGCUGAAUGAGCAAUUUUCAUCAAAUGGAAACGACCUCUCAUUUCCCGUUGAUCCCACCGUCAGAAAUCUGAUGCUGCCAUCAUGGCCAAAAAUGUCCCUUGCUCCGAGCACUGUCGUCUGCUGUUGAUCAGGUGAAAACGUUUGGGGAGUUCUGGGAGAAGAAUUGGCAGUGAUGUGAAGUGCCACCAGGUGGAGAGACUUUGUUCCAAAAUAAAGUACAGGCUGGGUAGUGAGAGCUGAAGCCAGAAAUGUCAACACCUCGUGAGACCUUUAAUCAUUGGGAUUAAUCAAAAAACUUCAGCCCCCUACAGGUAAAUUAGGACCUAAAAUCAUACUAACUGCCACCUUAACUGCUUCCUAAAUGACUUGUCAACCAAUUGUAACUACUAACUAUUAAUCUGGCAAAUAAAAUGUCAGGAAAUAGUCAUAUCACUCGAUAAGUAACACAAAACUGCAGUACAGAAAUGCCAUAAAUAUGCAAUCUAGAGACAGUAUACCUUAUAACAUGACACCAAUAAGGACUGACAAGUUUAUUUUUUUAACUGUAAAUUGUCCCAGUCUGCACAUAUCUUGGUCAUAAUUCUUUAAUAAUCAAGUUUAAAGGGAUCUUCAACAAAAAUGUUUGUUUUGUGAAAAAAUAUAUUGAUCUUUUUAAAACUCAUUUAUCUGCAUUGACCUCAAAAACCCAGCAUUGGUCAGGCUCUAGUGUGAAAUUCCCAUCACAAAUGUAAAAAAUCCCAAAGAUAUUAAAUUGUAACAAUUAUAAAACAGAGCAUCAGCAAAUCAUUAAACAUUUAAGCUGGAACCAUCAAUUUUUUUCACUUGAUAAAAAGACUGUCAAUUCAUUGGUUUCCAAAAUGAAGUUGUUCUCUAAAAACAUCUGAUCUUAAACCAUUUAAUUAUGUACAGACACAGCUCAGUUGUAUAUUAAUUGCACUAUUUUAUUCAGCUGAUACUAAAAACAAUGUGGAACAUAUGCUCACCAAAAUGUUAUGAACAACUGAUGAGACAAUAAAACCUCAACACAAAAGCUAAUAAGAGGCAGUGCACUGGAUUGGACUCAAGAUCUAAAUAAAUGCAAAUUCUUGACACUUAAGGCUUCGCAGGCCUUGUAGAAACCACAGGAUGGAAAGACAACAUAUCUUUUUAAGCAGCACAACAAGGAAAACGGCAUUAUAUAAAAAUACCAAAGACAUAAUGUGAUUCUGUGUUGCUGAAUUGCUGUUUAUUUUGUUCUUCUGAGUGUUCGGGGGAUUUGUGAGAAAGAAAUGUGUGUGCUACUAUUUACAGUGUAACUCAGUAUGGGGCAAAAGUACAGUUCACUUUAAUUUUUAUUUUUUUAAUUCAAUGU